rnacentral:lncRNA from 1 species
AUGCAUGUGUAGUAGCGUAUAGUUCAAUUCAAAGUGUGAACAUGUUCAAGGAGCUCUAUGGUCAACAUAGAAUUAGUUAGCAGCUACUUCUUGGCCGAAUAAGUGCCUUGGAAAGUUAGGAGACAGCCACCAUACAUGCACUUAAGCCAUUCAUGCAUUCUAUCAUCCAAUGCAUUUGAUCCAUUCAUGGACUAGCCUUUAAUGUCCAUACAUGCAUUCGACACAUGCAUGAAUUUGUAGAAACAUUGCAUCUAGCCGUACAUGCACCAGCAUUUAAUACUUCUUCAUUCAUGAGUGUGGAAUGCCCAAAAGAGAUGUUUCUUCAUCCAUACAUUGUACCGUCCAAAG